UAGAAAAGAACUUUGACUGUAUGAAUCU
rnacentral:piRNA from 1 species